rnacentral:rRNA from 1 species
UACAGAGGUCCCGAGCGUUGUUCGAAUUCAUUGGGCGUAAAGGGUGCGUAGGCGGCGGGGAAAGUCUGAUGUGAAAUCCUGGGGCUCAACCCUGGAACUGCAUUGGAUACUUCCUUGCUAGAGUACUGGAGAGGAAACUGGAAUUUACGGUGUAGCAGUGAAAUGCGUAGAGAUCGUAAGGAAGACCAGUGGCGAAGGCGAGUUUCUGGACAGUUACUGACGCUGAGGCACGAAGGCCAGGGGAGCAAACGGG